GGAUUGUCUCUCUGCGGUACGUCAUUGCUGCGGUUAUUAACCACAACACCUUCCUCCCCGCUGAAGUACUUUACAACCCGAAGGCCUUCUUCAUACACGCGGCAUGGCUGCAUCAGGCUUGCGCCCAUUGUGCAAUAUUCCCCACUGCUGCCUCCCGUAGGGGGGCGGGGGCGGCGGGCCGGGCGCGGGGCGCGGCGGGCG
rnacentral:rRNA from 1 species